GAUGAACGCUGGCGGCGUGCCUAAUACAUGCAAGUCGAGCGAACGGACGAGAAGCUUGCUUCUCUGAUGUUAGCGGCGGACGGGUGAGUAACACGUGGAUAACCUACCUAUAAGACUGGGAUAACUUCGGGAAACCGGAGCUAAUACCGGAUGAUAUUUUGAACCGCAUGGUUCAAAAGUGAAAGACGGUCUUGCUGUCACUUAUAGAUGGAUCCGCGCUGCAUUAGCUAGUUGGUAAGGUAACGGCUUACCAAGGCAACGAUGCAUAGCCGACCUGAGAGGGUGGUCGGCCACACGGGAACUGAGACACGGUCCAGACUCCUACGGGAGGCAGCAGUAGGGAAUCUUCCGCGAUGGGCGAGAGCCUGACGGAGCAACGCCGCGUGAGUGAUGAAGGUCUUCGGAUCGUAGAACUCUGUUAGUAGGGAAGAACAUAUGUGUAAGUAACUGUGCACAUCUUGACGGUACCUAAUCAGAAAGCCACGGCUAACUACGUG
rnacentral:rRNA from 1 species